UACGUAGGGGGCAAGCGUUGUCCGGAAUCAUUGGGCGUAAAGCGCGUGUAGGCGGCUUGGUAUGUCCGGUGUGAAACCUUGGGGCUCAACCCCAAGCCUGCACCGGAUACUGCCUCGCUUGGGUCCGGGAGGGGAGAGCGGAAUCCCUAGUGUAGCGGUGAAAUGCGCAGAUAUUAGGAAGAACACCGGUGGCGAAGGCGGCUCUCUGGAACGGUACUGACGCUGAGACGCGAAAGCGUGGGGAGCGAACAGG
rnacentral:rRNA from 1 species